UCGCACAACAUGACAAUGAGGAAGCUAACCACUUGAGAUUACUAAUUUAUCGUGCAGGUGAAUUCGAAGAGCAAAGUGAUUGUUCAAACAAAUAGUUCAAAUCAAUGCCUAAUAGGACUUGUCAUCUCAGCCGGGAAUGCUAACGAACUUACCAGAGAGUUAUUUGCAAAAUCUGUGGCUUGUUCACCAUGAACAAAGAGAGUUUGACUGAGGAGCAGUGUGAAAAAUGGUUCCAGAUUCGUUGGUGUAAAGGGUAUUACAAAGGCUCGUGCCCAAGUUUGGCAUGGAGAUUUAAUGUGCCAAAUGGCAGUGAUGAUGAAAAAUGAGUGAUUGUCAUUUCAUCAAGCACUCAUGGAUGAAUUUUGUUGGGAACCUAAAGGCUCAUAAUGCAGUUUAGAGCAUUUAGGAUGCCAGUAACACUUGCCACCAUUAUGAAAAUUUACAAAAACACUGACCAAGAAUGUCACCAAAAAAGAUUUCCUGUCAGGGUGUUACAUCUGAAGCUGGAGCUUUUAAUGAAUAGAAGACCAAGAGAAAGAAAAAGGCAAAGUAGACCAAGAAAAUACUUUGUGUAUAUGCAUACAUUAGAAGACAAUAUUUAUUUGUUAAUCCUUUGCCUUGCAACUAUGGGCAAGGUGAGCCAAACUUGCAUAUUCUGCAAGUGUCUCUAUAGUAAUUUGAUAUCAUCUUUUCAAUCCUUAAGUAUCUUUUAAGAAUGCUUUGCUGGAGGACUUUGAGGAAGGAGUGCACUCAAUGAGUAGUCACUGUGGCUCCCCCUCCUUUGGGUUUCUUCUAUAAACCUGUUUGGCCUCUGAAGCAUAACUGUUUUAGGUACAUGUACCAUGUUAAUGAUGGCUGUGUUGAAGGUUUCCCAAAUAUCCUCUUUUCUGUUGAAAUGCAUCAAAUAUUGCUGGUGAUCUCCAUUCUGAUUCACAGACAUUUAUUCAAUGUCAGUACCCUAUGGCUAUCAUUAAUGGCACUUUCUUUUAAGUAAAAGGAGAAGAGAAAAUGUUUUGGAUCAUACCAUGAUGACUUGAGUGUUUUAUCAGUCCCAUCUGUUGUCUAAAGCAAGAAAGCAGGCUUGGGAGAAAAAGUUGCCAUUCUGGAUCAGUGUGGGAAGCUGAGCUAAAACCAAUGAUAAUUUAGCUGCCGCAUGAAAUACCUCAAGAUUGGUCUUUUGGUCAGCUGGCAGUUCAUAUGCUUUCUCUCAGGUAUUGUUAAGACCAUCAAAAUGACUGCCACCUACAUGCAUCUUGAAAAGCACUCAAUUUCAAAGUUUUCUUUGACUUGUGGACUUGGUAUUGUAUACUGGGAGCUAAAUUUAGCCAAUUUUUUUGGCAGCAUUAUCCUGGCAGUUAUGGAAAACAAAAUCAAGG